CAGCGCGGUGCAGUCGCUGAGUACUAGUCGUGGCGGCGCGCGAAGGGGGGCCGCGAGAGAGGACCGCCGAGAGCAGGGGACCCCUUACCGAACCGUUCGCCGCAGUACGACCCUCGCCUCACCCCCAGCCUGGCACACCCCAACCCCCCGCUCCGAACGCCUUCAAGUUCCCCACCCCGACCACACCGACCCCACUGAGUGGCUGGAUGUCGCUGUUGGGACGCCGGAUGAAGCGCCGUCGUCUCCAGGGCUGGUGCUGAGAUGGAACAGCUGCCCGAGGAGCUGGUGCACCUGAUCCUGGGGUUGCUGGACGAGCGGACCCUGCGCCGGUCCGUGCCGGCCGUGUGCCGCCUGUGGAAGCGCCUCGCCCGGACGCGCGGGGCGUGGAGGAACACGGUCAUCACCUUCGAGCGAGAGGCGGACUUCGCCGAGCGUGUCGGAUGGACGCCGCCGGCGGUGCUGGCGCUGGAGCUGCGCAAGGGCGGCGCCCCGGGCUGCCUGAGCGAGGAGCAGUGGCGCACCGUGCUCAACUGCGCCUCGCACGCGCGCCGCCUGCGGGGCGCCUCGUGCUCGGGGGCGCCCCGCGGCCUGCACCGGGGCUCGCUGGCGGGCGGCGGCGCCCUCAGCGGCGCCCUGGGCCGGGGCGCCCACUGCCGCCGCCGCCUGCUCGAGCUGCUCGACAAGUGCUGGCACAGCCUGGAGCACGUGAGCCUGCAGCUGCAGCCGCCCCUCGACGAGGAUACCGCCCAGCUGUGGACCCUGCUCGCGUCCAUGCCGAGGCUGCGUCGUCUCGAGCUCAGCAUGGGCGACAGCCAGACGCCCUGGCUCACCGACCCGGACGUGCUGCCCCAGGAGCUGUGCUGGCGCUGGGACGAGGGCUGGGGCGCCCUCCGCCACCUGGACCUGCGCGGGCUGCCGCCCGGCCCGGCACAGUGGCUGCUGCAGGGGUUCCUCCGGGUGCGCGGCCCCAUGCUCCGGGAGGUCAUCCUCAGCCCCGGCCAGCAGCUCAACCAGCGCUUCAUCCGCGUGCUCAAGCAGUGCCGCCAGCUGGAGCACCUCGGCGUCGGCUGCUGCCACGACCUGUGGCGGCUCGACGCGCUCCCCAACCUCAGCUCGCUGACCCUCCUCGGCCUUCCCCGGCGCGCCACCGCCAUGUGGAUUCUGCGCUCGCCCGUCAUCGCGCACUUGCAGAGCCUCUCCCUGGACGGCGUCAACCCCUCGCUGUUCGACAUCCUGCCCGCCGUGGGGCACACCUGCCACAACCUCCGCUGCAUCACAUUCCGACGCUGCCAGGUGCCGGCGCGCUUCGCGCUGCCGCUGUCGGCGUGCCCGCUGCGGGAGAUCGCCGCCGACAACAUGCGCGCCGAGCACGUGCUGGAGGCGCGCCGCCUGCCGCACCUGCAGCUGCUGCGUCUGUCGGGCCACCUCGGCAACUACAACUCGAUGAUGGUGGCCGUGGAGAGCCUGCGCGCCGCCAACCCGGACCUGAGGGUGGCCGGCCUGGAGGACGGGCUGUUCAACAACUGGGGGCCCGGGGUGCAGCGCGCGCUCGCCCUGGCCAGGCCCACAAACUUCACGGUGGGCUCGCUGCUGCGCGCGGUGUGACGUGAUGGCGGUCAUUGCCCUCGCCGGCCCGGCCUCGGGGCUCCCCGGGGAAGUUCGUUGCCGGGGCCCGGCCGCCAUUGUCGCCGCACGCCCCCGCUGCCCCCGCCGCCCCCGCCGCCGCCGCCCCUGCACACGACCCCCGCCCCCGCGCCGCCCCCGGCCUCCCGGCCCCGACCCUCCGAGCAGCCAGCGCACCGACGAGCCGGCCUCUCGCGACGCACAUGGACCCCGACGCCUACAACGGCGCUGACCGGGGGGCGUACCGCUGGAGCCAGACGCACCAAGACCUCGACGUGCAGGUGCAAAUCCCUCCGUACUUCAUGGAGAAAACACGAGGGGGAAACGUUCACGCACAACAGACACACACAAAGUCAUAUGCAUCUGUUUUGCGAUCGUCGCGAAAAAAAAAAUGACCCGGUCAAUAAACUUUCCAAAACAAAAUUUCUAAAGAGCGGGCGGAUGAAUUUUGGAAAAUAAAAACAGCAAACUUCUCUCUACAACUGACUCUCACGCGCGCGCACAUGCUCAGGGCUGCGUUGUCUCCUUUCUCCCCCAGGUCGUGGUCCCGAAGUCCGUCGUGUCCAGCGGUGCCCUGGAGGUGCUCAUCAGGACCGACUCGCUUCUGGUGCGCCACGGCGAGCGCGACCUGGUGAGCGGCAAGCUCAAGCACGCCGUCAGAGACAAGGAGAGUUUCUGGACUCUGCUCCCGGGACAACACGUGCACGUAGGCAAUGUCGUAGCUCUUGUCUUGAAUGGGCGGUGCGGGCAGGGAGGGCGGGUUUGGUCACCCGCUGGAGGCGCUCCACCUGCACCUGUUCUCGCGCCUGCAGGUGCAGCUGGAGAAGGCGCGGCCCCGCUGGUGGACCAGCCUGCUGGAAGGCGAGCCCCCGGCGGACGUGCCCGCCAGGGAAGUGCCGCUGGAGGAGCUGCGCAGCGAGGAAGCGAUGGUGGUCGAGAAGCUGAGGUGGCAAGACCUCCAGAAGCAGCAGCAGCGAGCCGCACACGGUGACCAAGAGCACGGCCGUGUGCCAGCGUGAUGGGGCGUGACGGGGCCAAGUGUUCCAAGACCUCGACUUUGACUGUCUGUCGAAACUUAAAAAAAACAA